CAGCUGGCGCCAGGGUCGGCUUUCCCCACAUCUGCACUCCUUCUGCUGCAGGCCUGAGCUCUCCAUGCCCCUGGCUAUUUCCUGCAUAGGGCCUGCUCUCAGUGGCCAAAGGAGGGCGCUGGAGAAUGGACCUGAGCAGACAGGCAGGAGCUCCUCUGCUGGUCCUCCCAGGCACCACCCCUUCUGGAAGGAAGGCAUGGGAGUCCCCUAAGACAGAUCCUCAGUCACUUCUCUCUGCCUGGUCCUCCUACUGUCUUCUAUGCUAGGGAUCACUUCCUUGUUGAGUGGCACCUGAAUUUUGAGAGGUUCCUCUGCUCCUCUUCAUCUGACCCCUUUCCUUCCAAGGCCCCACAGAGGAAGGCAUGCGGUGGGCCCUAGCCCUGCUUCUAGCUCUCCUGUCUCCUGCCAGUCAGAAAUCUUCCAACUUGGAAGGGAGAACAAAGUCAGUCACCAGGCCAGCUGGGUCAUCUGCUGAAAUAACUUGUGAUUUUUCCGGAGACAGUAACUUCUACAUCCACUGGUACCUACACCAGGAGGGGAAGGCCCCACAGCGUCUUCUGUACUAUGACUCCUACUACUUCAAGGUUGUGUUGGAAUCAGGAAUCAGUCCAGGAAAGUACGAUACUGCAAGCACAAGGAAGAGCUGGAAUUUGAGACUGCAAAAUCUAAUUGAAAAUGAUUCUGGGGUCUAUUACUGUGCCACCUGGGACAGGCACCAUGAUUCAGACCUGCCCUACACCACACUAAAAAUCUGCCUGUGGUUGCUUCUGGUAAGAUAGACCAGCCAACUCUUAUUUCCUGCCCUGAAUUUACUGUAUUCUGUACAAAGAGAAACACAGCUUAACUCCUGACCUCCCCCUAAUAUCACAUUCUCCUGGCAGCAGCUGCCGCCUGUUCGCCACCCUCCCCCAGAACUUUCCUGAAGACCAAGCUGCCAUCUCCAGGCCUCAGCUAAGCAGCCUGACUGAGAGCAAGGUUCUCUUAGCUCUCCUAGGACAUGGGCAAGGCCCACUCAAUCUGCUUCCUAGGACAGACAGGUAAACCUAGAGUCCAGCUGUGAAGCAAGAUAUUUUGGACAGCAAAUGGGGAGGGUGUUUUUACUGAAUCAUGUAUCCAAUCAUGGUCCAGAGAUCACAGCUGAGAGUGGCG